AACGAACGCUGGCGGCGUGGAUUAGGCAUGCAAGUCGAACGGUAUCAUCCUUUCGGGGGUGAGAGAGUGGCGAACUGGUGAGUAACACGUAGGUUAUCUACCCUCAAGACGGGGACAACCCAGGGAAACUUGGGCUAAUACCGGAUGUGAGCAACUUUUAGUUGUUUGAAAGGUGGCGUAAGCUGUCGCUUGGGGAUGAGCCUGCGUCCUAUUAGUUAGUUGGUGAGGUAACGGCUCACCUAGGCAAUGAUAGGUAGGCGGCCUUAACGGGUGGUUGCCCACACUGGGAUUGAGAUACGGCCCAGACUCCUACGGGAGGCAGCAGUCGAGAAUAGUCUACAAUGGUCGGAAGACUGAUAGUGCGACGCCGCGUGAACGAUGAAUCCCUUCGGGGUGUAAAGUUCUUUUAUAUGUGAGCAGUGCUUCUUAUAUUAACAGUAUGGGGAGAGAGAUAUUAGCAUAUGAAUAAGCAACGGCUAACUCCGUGCCAGCAGCCGCGGU
rnacentral:rRNA from 1 species